AUGAUUACUGUUAAAUCAAAGCAACAAAUUAACAAGAACAAGUCAAAAAUAGGAGAAAAAAAAGGCGAUUCUCUCUCUUCAGUACAUCAUAACCGCGUCUUCUCCAAAACAAACAUAUCGUCUUCAAUCAUCUUCUACGAACUGCAACAUCCCUGCAUCGAAUCCGAAAUCGUUUCAACACGGUUCUACAAGUAG